UGGGGAAUAUUGCACAAUGGGCGCAAGCCUGAUGCAGCCAUGCCGCGUGUAUGAAGAAGGCCUUCGGGUUGUAAAGUACUUUCAGCGGGGAGGAAGGCGAUAAGGUUAAUAACCUUGUCGAUUGACGUUACCCGCAGAAGAAGCACCGGCUAACUCCGUGCCAGCAGCCGCGGUAAUACGGAGGGUGCAAGCGUUAAUCGGAAUUACUGGGCGUAAAGCGCACGCAGGCGGUCUGUCAAGUCGGAGGUGAAAUCCCCGGGCUCAACCUGGGAACUGCAUUCGAAACUGGCAGGCUAGAGUCUUGUAGAGGGGGGUAGAAUUCCAGGUGUAGCGGUGAAAUGCGUAGAGAUCUGGAGGAAUACCGGUGGCGAAGGCGGCCCCCUGGACAAAGACUGACGCUCAGGUGCGAAAGCGUGGGGAGCAAACA
rnacentral:rRNA from 1 species